AGAGUUUGAUCAUGGCUCAGAAUCAACGCUGGCGGCGUGCCUCAGACAUGCAAGUCGAACGAUUAAGACUCCCUUCGGGGAGUGCAUAAAGUGGCGCACGGGUGAGUAACACGUAAGUAAUCUGCCUUUGAGUGGGGAAUAACCCGGGGAAACCCGAGCUAAUACCGCAUAACGCAGCGGCACCGCAAAGUGACAGUUGUUAAAGGAGCAAUCCGCUUGAAGAGGAGCUUGCGGCAGAUUAGCUAGUUGGUAAGGUAAUGGCCUACCAAGGCUACGAUCUGUAUCCGGUCUAAGAGGACGGUCGGACACACUGACACUGAAUAACGGGUCAGACUCCUACGGGAGGCAGCAGUGGGGAAUUUUGGGCAAUGGGCGAAAGCCUGACCCAGCAACGCCGCGUGAAGGAUGAAAUCCUUCGGGAUGUAAACUUCGCAAGAACGGGAAGAAUAAGUAAGGGUUAUUAUCUCUUACGAUGACGGUACUGUUUGUAAGCUCCGGCUAACUCCGUGCUAGCCGCCGCGGUAAUAC
rnacentral:rRNA from 1 species